rnacentral:rRNA from 1 species
AGAGUUUGAUCCUGGCUCAGAAUGAACGUUGGCGGCGUGGAUUAGGCAUGCAAGUCGAGCGAGAACCAGUCUUCGGACUGGGGACAGCGGCGAACGGGGUAGGAAUACCUCGGUGACGUACCCCUCGGUCGGGGAUAGCGGCGGGAAACUGCCGGUAAUACCCGAUGAUCUUCCUGAGAGUUAAGGUUGGGAAGCAAAGGUGUGAUUCCGUCGGGGGAGCGGCUGAGGUCGUAUUAGCUGGUUGGUGAGGUAACGGCUCACCAAGGCGAUGAUGCGUAGGGGGUGUGAGAGCAUGGCCCCCACCACUGGCACUGAGACACUGGCCAGACACCUACGGGUGGCUGCAGUCGAGAAUCUUCGGCAAUGGGCGCAAGCCUGACCGAGCGACGCCGCGUGCGGGAUGAAGGUCUUCGGAUUGUAAACCGCUGUCGGAGGGGAUGAAAUGCAUGGGGGAACUCCCCUGUGUUUGACAGAGCCUCGGAGGAAGCACGGGCUAAGUUCGUGCCAGCAGCCGCGGUAAUACGAACUGUGCGAACGUUAUUCGGAAUCACUGGGCUUAAAGGGUGCGUAGGCGGCGAUUCAAGUCAGGUGUGAAAUCCCCCGGCUCAACCGGGGAACUGCGCUUGAAACUGGAUUGCUCGAGUGAGGUAGGGGUGUAUGGAACUUCCGGUGGAGCGGUGAAAUGUGUAGAGAUCGGAAGGAACGCCGGCGGCGAAAGCGGUACACUGGGCCUUGUCUGACGCUGAGGCACGAAAGCUAGGGGAGUGAACGGGAUUAGAUACCCCGGUAAUCCUAGCCGU